rnacentral:rRNA from 1 species
GAUGAACGCUGGCGGCGUGCCUAAUACAUGCAAGUCGAGCGAACAGACGAGGAUCUUGCUCCUCUGACGUUAGCGGCGGACGUGUGAGUAACACGUGGAUAACCUACCUAUAAGACUGGGAUAACUUCGGGAAACCGGAGCUAAUACCGGAUAAUAUAUUGAACCGCAUGGUUCAAUAGUGAAAGACGGUUUUGCUGUCACUUAUAGAUGGAUCCGCGCCGCAUUAGCUAGUUGGUAAGGUAACGGCUUACCAAGGCAACGAUGCGUAGCCGACCUGAGAGGGUGAUCGGCAACACUGGAACUGAGACACGGUCCAGACUCCUACGGGAGGCAGCAGUAGGGAAUCUUCCGCAAUGGGCGAAAGCCUGACGGAGCAACGCCGCGUGAGUGAUGAAGGUCUUCGGAUCGUAAAACUCUGUUAUUAGGGAAGAACAAAUGUGUAAGUAACUAUGCACGUCUUGACGGUACCUAAUCAGAAAGCCACGGCUAACUACGUG